AACGAACGCUGGCGGCGUGGAUAAGACAUGCAAGUCGAACGGGAUUUUUUUCUGUAGCAAUACAGAGAAAAGUCUAGUGGCGAACGGGUGCGUAACACGUAAGCAACCUGCCGUGAAGUGGGGGAUAGCUCGCCGAAAGGCGAAUUAAUACCGCAUGUGGCCAAGGAAGACAUCUUCCUUACGCCAAAGCCGGGGCAACCUGGCGCUUCUCGAGGGGCUCGCGGCCUAUCAGCUUGUUGGUGAGGUAACGGCUCACCAAGGCUAUGACGGGUAGCUGGUAUGAGAGGACGACCAGCCACACUGGAACCGAGACACGGUCCAGACACCUACGGGUGGCAGCAGUCGAGAAUUUUUCACAAUGGGGGAAACCCUGAUGGAGCGACGCCGCGUGGAGGAUGAAGGUUGUCGGAUUGUAACCUCCUGUCAUUAGAGAACAAGGCACACGGUUUAACUGGCCGUGUGUUGAUAGUAUCUGAAGAGGAAGAGACGGCUAACUCUGUGCCAGCCGCCGCCGUAA
rnacentral:rRNA from 1 species